CGAAAAUAUCGAAUAAUGAAAUACGAGAAGAAGGAGGAAAGAGUAUCUCCUGUUUAGAAAGGUUAAGUAAACGAGCCAGAUGAACGAAAAAGGCUAGGCGAUGAAUAGAUUUGAGUCUUGAAGUCUGGGUUUAAUUUCCUGCCAUCACCUAAAGGAUUCGAAGGGUAUAACUUAUCUAAUCAGUGUUCAAAGAGGCGAGGGUGGAGUACUUCUUUCGAUAGAAUCUAUAUGCAUGUAAUAUAAGAUCAAUUUAACCUAAUCGAUAUGCGAAGGCCAUACGAUAAAUCAAAAAUUUAGAUUUGAAGAUAGUAAUUGUUUAUUCUGGUAGUUGGAAUAUAGUAAACGUCGACAAAUUAACGUUCCGAUGGAUUAGAAAAUUUCUGUCUUAAGGACUAAGCCCUUUUAGCCCUUCCUAUUUAAAGUGAUUGCGUGCGAGUAUCGUCAACUAAACGCGUCCAGAUUGAAUCACACAUAGGGAGGAAAAUUAUUGACCAUUGGUUAGAAGGUUCUUACCAGUGCGUAAGCAUAUACCUUUUGGACAUUUGUUUGGCAGCGCAUGCAAAUCUUUCAUGGGUGAACGAUGAAGAAAAAUUUGGGUUACCAGGUCGUCGUGAUUCUUGGUGCUACCCCGUUGUCGUCAUCAUCGUCGUCGUAGUUGUUAUUGUCGUUAUUAUCUUGAACACGAAAGGAUCACUAAGAACGCACGAGAUCUUUGCGAUCGCAAUUCUACUUGACCGAAUAUAAUAUGUAUGUGUGUGUAUAAGAAUAUACCUUCAGAAUCAUUUUCUA